GAGGGUAUAGUUCAGUGUUAGAGUGCAUGCUUAGCAUACCUGAGGUCCUAGGUUCAACUCCCAGUACCUCCA
rnacentral:tRNA from 1 species